AUGGAGAUGAAACCCAAAAGAUUUUCGUUGGGGCGUAACCCUCUCAGCGACGCGCCACAUCGGAACCCGGGUGUGGUGGAAAAUGGGCAAGGGUCGGGCCGUCACCCCCCAAGUGGCACGCCAUAUCUUGAUCCGGAUACGGUGGCAAGUGAGCGAGGAUCGGGUCGUCGCAUCCUUAGUGGCGCGCUACAUCGGCGCCCGGAUGUAGUGGAAAAUGAUCAAGGGUCUUCGCAUUUGACUCGACGAGUGCGAAGGGUAAGGAAGCUAGCCGAGCCUAGGAGGAUUCGCUUAGGUAGCUGGAACGUAGGGUCUCCGACAGGGAAGCUUCGGGAGCUAGUUGAUGCAGCAGUGAGGAGAGGUGUUGAUAUUCUUUGCGUCCAAGAAACCAAAUGGAGAGGACAGAAGGCGAAGGAGGUGGAGGAUACCGGCUUCAAGCUGUGGUACACGGGGACGGCUGCAAACAGAAAUGGCGUAGGCAUCUUGAUCAACAAGAGCCUCAAGUAUGGAGUGGUAGACGUCAGGAGACGUGGGGACCGGAUUAUCCUGGUCAAGCUGGUAGCUGAGGACUUGGUUCUCAAUGUUAUCAGCGCAUAUGCCCCGCAAGUAGGCCACAAUGAGAACACCAAGAGGGAGUUCUGGGAAGGCUUGGAAGACAUGGUUAGGAGUGUACCAAUUGGUGAGAAGCUCUUCAUAGGAGGAGACCUCAAUGGCCAUGUGGGUACAUCUAACACAGGUUUUGAAGGGGCGCAUGGGGGCUUUGGCUAUGGCAUCAGGAAUCAAGAAGGAGAAGAUGUCUUAAGCUUUGCUCUAGCCUACAACAUGAUUGUAGCUAACACCCUCUUUAGAAAGAGAGAAUCACAUCUGGUGACUUUUAGUAGUGGCCAACACUCUAGCCAGAUUGAUUUCAUCCUCUCGAGAAGAGAAGAUAGGCGUGCGUGCCUAGACUGUAAGGUGAUACCUGGGGAGAGUGUUGUACCCCAGCAUAAGCUGGUGGUUGCUGACUUCCGCUUUCGGAUUCGUGUCCAGCGGGAUAAGCGUGCCAAGGUCGCUAGAACGAAGUGGUGGAAGCUCAAGGGGGAGGUAGCUCAUGUGUUCAAGGAGAGGGUAUUUAAGGAGGGCCCUUGGGAGGAAGGAGGGGAUGCGGACAAUGUGUGGAUGAAGAUGGUGACUUGCAUUCGUAAGGUGGCCUCGGAGGAGUUUGGAGUGUCCAGGGGAAGGAGAAGCGAAGAUAAGGAUACCUGGUGGUGGAAUGAUGAUGUCCAGAAGGCGCUUAAAGAGAAGAAAGAUUGCUUCAGACGCCUAUACCUGGAUAGGAGUGCAGACAACAUAGAGAAGUACAAGAUGGCGAAGAAGGCCGCAAAGCGAGCUGUUGGUGAAGCAAGGGGUCGGGCAUAUGAGGACCUCUACCAACGGUUAGGCACGAAGGAAGGUGAAAGGGACAUCUAUAAGAUGGCUAAGACCCGGGAGAGGAAGACGAGGGAUAUUGGCCAAGUCAAAUGCAUCGAGGACGGAGCAGGCCAACUCUUGGUGAAGGACGAAGAGAUUAAGCAUAGAUGGCGGGAGUACUUCGACAAGCUGUUCAAUGGGGAGAAUGAGAGUUCUACCAUUGAACUGAAUGACUCCUUUGAUGAGACCAACAUGCGUUUUGUGCGGCGCAUCCAGGAGUCUGAGGUGAAGGAGGCUUUAAAAAGGAUGAAAGGAGGCAAGGCGAUGGGCCCUGAUUGUAUCCCCAUUGAGGUGUGGAAAGGUCUCGGGGACAUAGCGAUAGUAUGGCUAACCAAGCUUUUCAACCUCAUUUUCCGGGCAAACAAGAUGCCAGAAGAAUGGAGACGGAGUAUAUUAGUACCAAUCUUCAAGAACAAGGGGGAUGUUCAGAGUUGUACUAAUUACCGUGGAAUUAAGCUGAUGAGCCAUACAAUGAAGCUAUGGGAGAGAGUCAUUGAGCACCGCUUAAGAAGAAUGACAAGCGUGACCAAAAAUCAGUUUGGUUUCAUGCCUGGGAGGUCGACCAUGGAAGCCAUUUUCUUGGUACGACAACUUAUGGAGAGAUAUAGGGAGCAUAAGAAGGACUUGCAUAUGGUGUUCAUUGACUUGGAGAAGGCCUAUGAUAAGAUACCGCGGAAUGUCAUGUGGUGGGCCUUGGAGAAACACAAAGUCCCAGCAAAGUACAUUACCCUCAUCAAGGACAUGUACAAUAAUGUUGUGACAAGUGUUCGAACAAGUGAUGUCGACAUCGAUGACUUCCCGAUUAAGAUAGGACUGCAUCAGGGGUCAGCUUUGAGCCCUUAUCUUUUUGCAUUGGUGAUGGAUGAGGUCACAAGGGGUAUACAAGGAGAUAUCCCAUGGUGUAUGCUCUUUGCGGAUGAUGUGGUGCUAGUUGACGAUAGUCGGACGGGGGUAAAUAGGAAGUUAGAGUUAUGGAGACAAACCUUGGAAUCGAAAGGGUUUAGUCUUAGUAGAACUAAAACCGAGUACAUGAUGUGCGGUUUCAGUACUACUAGCUGUGAGGAGGAGGAGGUUAGCCUUGAUGGCCAGGUGGUAUCUCGGAAGGACACCUUUCGGUAUAUGGGGUCAAUGUUGCAGGAGGAUGGGGGUAUUGAUGAAGAUGUGAACCAUCGAAUCAAAGCCGGAUGGAUGAAGUGGCGCCAAGCUUCUGGCAUUCUCUGUGACAAGAGAGUGCCACAAAAGCUAAAAGGCAAGUUCUAUAGGACGGCGGUUCGACCCGCAAUGUUGUAUGGCGCGGAGUGUUGGCCGACUAAAAGGCGACAUGUUCAACAGUUAGGUGUGGCGGAGAUGCGUAUGUUGAGAUGGAUGUGUGGCCACACGAGGAAGGAUCGAGUCCGAAAUGAUGAUAUACGAGAUAGAGUUGGGGUAGCACCAAUUGAGGAGAAGCUUGUCCAACAUCGUUUGAGAUGGUUUGGGCAUAUUCAGCGCAGGCCUCCAAAAGCUCCAGUGCAUAGCGGAUGUCUAAAGCGUGCGGAGAAUGUCAAGAGAGGGCGGGGUCGACCGAUUUUGACAUGGGAGGAGUCCGUUAAGAGAGACCUGAAGGAUUGGAGUAUCGACAAAGAGCUAGCUAUGGACAGGGGUGCGUGGAAGCUUGCUAUCCAUGUGCCAGAGCCAUGA
rnacentral:rRNA from 1 species